rnacentral:rRNA from 1 species
ACGUAGGGAGCGAGCGUUGUCCGGAAUUACUGGGUGUAAAGGGUGCGUAGGCGGCAGAGCAAGUCAGAUGUGAAAUACACGGGCUUAACCCGUGGGCUGCAUUUGAAACUGUUCAGCUUGAGUGGAGCAGAGGCAGGCGGAAUUCCCGGUGUAGCGGUGAAAUGCGUAGAGAUCGGGAGGAACACCAGUGGCGAAGGCGGCCUGCUGGGCUUUAACUGACGCUGAGGCACGAAAGCGUGGGUAGCAAACAG